CAGUCGCCACGGUAAUACGGAGGGAGCUAGCGUUGUUCGGAAUUACUGGGCGUAAAGCGCACGUAGGCGGCUUUGUAAGUUAGAGGUGAAAGCCCGGGGCUCAACCCCGAAAUUGCAGCGGAUACUGCGUUGCUGGAGGAUUGUAGAGGAGAGUGGAAUUCACGGUGUAGCAGUGAAAUGCGUAGAUAUCGUGAGGAAGACCAGUUGCGAAGGCGACUCUCUGGGCAACUCCUGACACUGAGGCACGAAGGCUAGGGGAGCAAACGGGAUUAGAUACCCCUGUAGUCCCUGUCUCUUAUAA
rnacentral:rRNA from 1 species